AUACUUGGUUGGCAGGGGAAAUACUAUUAUCAUGGAGGUGGUUUUCUAAGAAUAAAGCUUAUGCAGUCAUUUUGGAUUUGCUGGCCUCUAUAAUUUCCAUAAAUAUGGGAAACUCAACUGCAAACUUUGUGGUAGUGGAGGACUGUGUUCAUAUUUUUUCUUU